AGAGUUUGAUCCUGGCUCAGGACGAACGCUGGCGGCGUGCUUAACACAUGCAAGUCGAGCGAGGCCCUUCCUUCGGGAAGGUGUCCUAGCGGCGAACGGGUGAGUAACACGUGGGCAACCUGCCCCCAUCUCUGGGAUAACCCCGGGAAACCGGAGCUAAUACCGGAUACGAAGCCGAGUGGCAUCACUCAACUUGGAAAGAACUUCGGAUGGGGAUGGGCCCGCGGCCUAUCAGCUUGUUGGUGAGGUAACGGCCCACCAAGGCGACGACGGGUAGCCGGCCUGAGAGGGCGACCGGCCACACUGGGACUGAGACACGGCCCAGACUCCUACGGGAGGCAGCAGUGGGGAAUAUUGCGCAAUGGGCGAAAGCCUGACGCAGCGACGCCGCGUGAGGGAUGACGGCCUUCGGGUUGUAAACCUCUUUCAGCAGGGACGAAGCGCAAGUGACGGUACCUGCAGAAGAAGGACCGGCCAACUACGUGCCAGCAGCCGCGGUAAUACGUAGGGUCCGAGCGUUGUCCGGAAUUAUUGGGCGUAAAGAGCUCGUAGGCGGUCUGUUGCGUCGGCUGUGAAAACCCGGGGCUCAACUCCGGGCCUGCAGUCGAUACGGGCAGACUAGAGUUCGGUAGGGGAGACUGGAAUUCCUGGUGUAGCGGUGAAAUGCGCAGAUAUCAGGAGGAACACCGGUGGCGAAGGCGGGUCUCUGGGCCGAAACUGACGCUGAGGAGCGAAAGCGUGGGGAGCGAACAGGAUUAGAUACCCUAGUAGUCC
rnacentral:rRNA from 1 species